rnacentral:rRNA from 1 species
ACAUGCAAGUCGAGCGGUAGCACAGGAGAGCUUGCUCUCCGGGUGACGAGCGGCGGACGGGUGAGUAAUGUCUGGGAAACUGCCUGAUGGAGGGGGAUAACUACUGGAAACGGUAGCUAAUACCGCAUAACGUCGCAAGACCAAAGUGGGGGACCUUCGGGCCUCAUGCCAUCAGAUGUGCCCAGAUGGGAUUAGCUAGUAGGUGGGGUAAUGGCUCACCUAGGCGACGAUCCCUAGCUGGUCUGAGAGGAUGACCAGCCACACUGGAACUGAGACACGGUCCAGACUCCUACGGGAGGCAGCAGUGGGGAAUAUUGCACAAUGGGCGCAAGCCUGAUGCAGCCAUGCCGCGUGUAUGAAGAAGGCCUUCGGGUUGUAAAGUACUUUCAGCGAGGAGGAAGGCAUUAAGGUUAAUAACCUUAGUGAUUGACGUUACUCGCAGAAGAAGCACCGGCUAACUCCGUGCCAGCAGCCGCGGUAAUACGGAGGGUGCAAGCGUUAAUCGGAAUUACUGGGCGUAAAGCGCACGCAGGCGGUUUGUUAAGUCAGAUGUGAAAUCCCCGGGCUCAACCUGGGAACUGCAUUUGAAACUGGCAAGCUUGAGUCUUGUAGAGGGGGGUAGAAUUCCAGGUGUAGCGGUGAAAUGCGUAGAGAUCUGGAGGAAUACCGGUGGCGAAGGCGGCCCCCUGGACAAAGACUG